CAGCAGCCACGGGAACACGGAGGGUGCAAGCGUUAAUCGGAAUUACUGGGCGUAAAGCGUGCGUAGGCGGUUCGUUAAGUCUGUUGUGAAAGCCCCGGACUCAACCUGGGAAUGGCAAUGGAUACUGGCGAGCUAGAGUGUGUCAGAGGAUGGUGGAAUUCCCGGUGUAGCGGUGAAAUGCGUAGAGAUCGGGAGGAACAUCAGUGGCGAAGGCGGCCAUCUGGGACAACACUGACGCUGAGGCACGAAAGCGUGGGGAGCAAACAGGAUUAGAUACCCCCGUAGUCCCUGUCUCUAUACA
rnacentral:rRNA from 1 species